GCUCGGCAAUGCCUCCGCGUGGCGGGCGCGUUUAAGAGAAAGCUUUAGCUCGGGUGUUCCAAUCUAAAUACAUGCAAACGGAGUAUUCGUUUUUCUCGGCAACCACUGCACCAAAUUUGACGAGGUUUGUUACAUUUAAAACAAAAGCUUGGAAUCUAGAAUUUCUGCUGGGUACACAAAAGAUUUAAGCGAAACAAUUGAAGCAAAGCGGGGCAUGGUGCUUUCAGUGCCCAAUUUAUAUAGAACAUGUAGUUUUCCAUUAUAAAGGGGACUGUAAUGCGAUGUCUUUAAGUAGGGGGUUGUCUUAUAUUCAGAGUCGACUUAUGUUUCAAUAUGAACGGGAAUGAAGGGUUACGCAAUUCUAUUAACGAAAUUUACCUCUGCUGUUUAGUUUCCAUAUUGUGCGUAGAAGCAACAGUGCGUGCACUUUCAGCUGCUCAGUUUAUCUUCAAUGCUGCUCUCAUUUUGUAGAGUUCAUCACUUGUGCAUGUGCAACACAUUGGCGGAGGCAAUACGAACUGCAUUUCUCACUAGCUGGACAAGUCGGAAUGGCAAUGCACCUUGGAGAACAAGACUCGAAUUGUGAAAGUCUGGUGGUUUCACAGAACUUUGUUUUAUGUCAAGAUGGGCUGACACCAUGUCACCUGAUGCUGUCACUCUCUGGUAAGCAUGUUAAAAAAAUAAAAACAAUCCAGUUUGAA